AAAGGCCAGCACAAGGUACAGGACAAAGACCAGCUCAGCCGGAUCCCUGUGCGGAUGUGCGAUGCCCACGCGGCCAACUGUGUCGCAGCAUUAGAUGUCCGACACCCCAGUAUUGCACCCCCCAGGCCGAGUGUGUCCCCAAAGUGAGACGAGGCUUCUGCCCAGCCGCUGUGUAUCACUAUCACCGGGGCCGUGUGUUGUGUGGCCAACCUCCGGAAUGUACCUUCGACUAUCAGUGCCCGGGAAAUCUCAAAUGUUGCGGUGCUUGCAAAGUCUGCGAACACCCAAUUAUCACUUACACGAAGUACGCGUUUGCGGGCUGACCAUCUCAUCCCGACAUCCAGCAAGGAUGGUUCAGCAGUCUCAGCACCUUGUCUGUAAGGCGGACUCUUGGUGUAGCGAUAGUUGGUAGGUAGUGAUGUCAGAAGGUCUGCAGUGAUAAAGUUGUUCUCAAGACUUUCCCAUGUAUAUAAACCGUUUCUAUCAUUUCACGUUGUUAAAGAUUGAGAAUCUUGAAACUCCAUUGGUUAAUCCGUAACACGGGACAAAACAAUACAUUUCAAUGAAGACCCCCAAAUCGUGUGACUGACGCUGACCUCGAAUAUUGACUCGUAACAUGAUCGGUUUUGACCUGUCACGUGAUGAACAUUGACCCGUCAAGGAGAAAACAAGAUGGCGUCAGGUACAUUAACAUUUUCGGUUCGCAGCUAGGUCACUGGAAUGACCUCAUCCAGAGUAAUUAUUUGUAUUUGUGUUAGUACACUAGCAGUUAUUCAUUGGAACACAAAUUUAUCAAUAAUUGGUAUAUUUUCAUAAAUACGAAAAACAUAUUAACACACAAGUAAGGGAUGAUUUAAAUCUUGAUACAAGAUCAGAUGUAUGUCCUGUGUGAUGUCUAAUUAGUGUAAUAUUCACAACCAAAUAAAAGUGAAUUUGUC